rnacentral:RNase_P_RNA from 1 species
CAAGUAAACCGGGUGGCCGCCCCGGACUCCGGGGAGGAAAGUCCGAGCUCCACCGGGCAGGGUGCUGGGUAACGCCCAGGAGGGGUGACUCUAUGGAAAGUGCCACAGAAACAUACCGCCCCGCGUCAGCGAGGUAAGGGUGAAAUGGUGGGGUAAGAGCCCACCAGCGACUGGGUGACCGGUCGGCUGGGUAAACCCCAUCCGGAGCAAGGCCAAAUAGAGGGACAUAAGGAUGCCCGGCCUGUCCCCGGGUUGGCCGCUUGACCCUGACGGAAACGUCAGGGCUAGAUAGAUGGCCAUCGUCCUUCCGGUGAUGGAAGGAUACAGAACUCGGCUUACAGGUUUACUUGGCCU